GAACGCACAUUGCGCCCUCUGGUAUUCCGGGGGGCAUGCCUGUUCGAGCGUCAUUACACCACUCAAGCUCAGCUUGGUAUUAGGUCUCACCUGCUAAAGGCGGGCCGUAAAAUCAGUGGCGGUGCCAUCUGGCUUCAAGCUUAGUAAUUAUUCUAGCUUAGGAGUACCAGGUGUGUGCCUGCCAGCAACCCCAAUUUUUUAAAGGUUGACCUCGGAUCAGGUAGGGAUACCCGCUGAACUUAAG
rnacentral:misc_RNA from 1 species